UCCCAUUUCUUCGGAAAGUAAGAUCCCUGAAAGAUGAUCAGGUAGAUAGGUUUGGAGUGGAAGUGUAGCGAUACAUGGAGCGGACAAAUACUAAUCGAUCGAGGACUUAACCAAAA
rnacentral:rRNA from 1 species